CUGCAGAAAGGCAGGAUGUCAUGACAGCAGGGCUGGAAGGACAGACAUCCAGAUGCUCUUCACCUUCCUAAUGACAGCCCUAUGGAGCAGCAAUGGGCCCUCAGCGAAGCAAGAGAAGAUGGACUAUUGACCCAGGAAGAGGGGAUGGGGCACUAGGGAAAUGCAUGCUGAGGCAGUCACAGCACCUGAACACAGGCUGGAGAGUGGAAAUUCCCAUCGGGAGAAAGCAAACAUGAUGGAUGGCAUUCCCAUCACCCAUCCCUGCA